rnacentral:rRNA from 1 species
CCUUGUACACACCGCCCGUCACACCAUGGGAGUUGGCUUUACCCGAAGACGGUGCGCUAACCGCAAGGAGGCAGCCGGCCACGGUAGGGUCAGCGACUGGGGUG